rnacentral:rRNA from 1 species
GUUGGGAACCAGCGGAGGGAUCAUUGCUGAGUUGUAAACUCCAAACCACUGUGAACCUACCACUACGUUGCCUCGGCGGGCGGCUCCAGGGCGGAGCCUCAGGCCCCCCCGCUUUGGGGGGGGCGCCCGCCGCCAGGCCCUUUUUAAACACUGUUGUAUCUAGGCCUCUCUGAGUUACCUGCGCAAGCAGUCAAAACUUUCAACAAUGGAUCUCUUGGCUCUGGCAUCGAUGAAGAACGCAGCGAAAUGCGAUAAGUAAUGCGAAUUGCAGAAUCCAGCGAGUCAUCGAAUCUUUGAACGCACAUUGCGCCCGCCAGUACUCUGGCGGGCAUGCCUGUUCGAGCGUCACUCUCUAUCCGUCAAGCCCAGCUUGUGUUGGGGCACUGCGGCUGCCGCAGGCCCCCAAAGGAAGUGGCGGGACCGUUGUCGUGCCGAGCGUAGUACAGCACCUCGCUCCGGCGCCGGCAGUGGCCUCCAGCCGUUAAAGCCCCUACUUUACGUACUGGUUGACCUCGAAUCAGGUAGGAAUACCCGCUGAACUUAAGCAUAUCAAUAA